CCUACGGGAGGCAGCAGUGAGGAAUAUUGGUCAAUGGGCUGGAGCCUGAACCAGCCAAGUCGCGUGAGGGAAGACGGUCCUAUGGAUUGUAAACCUCUUUAGGCGGGGAGCAAUGCCAGGCACGCGUGCCCGGAGGGAGAGUACCCGCAGAAUACGCAUCGGCUAACUCGGUGCCAGCAGCCGCGGUAAUACGGAGGAUGCGAGCGUUAUACGGAUUUAUUGGGUUAAAAGGGUGCGUAGGCGGAUUUUACAGUCAGCGGGAAAAUGUCCGGUCUCAACCCGGGACGGCCGUUGAAACUGGGGAUCGUGAGUGGGCGAGAAGUAUGCGGAAUGCGUGGUGUAGGGGUGAAAUGCAUAGAU
rnacentral:rRNA from 1 species